GCAUAUCAAUAAGCGGAGGAAAAGAAACUAACAAGGAUUCCCCUAGUAACUGCGAGUGAAGCGGGAAAAGCUCAAAUUUAAAAUCUGGCAGUCUUUGGCUGUCCGAGUUGUAGUCUGGAGAAGCGUUUUCCGCGCUGGACCGUGUACAAGUCUCUUGGAACAGAGCGUCAUAGAGGGUGAGAAUCCCGUCUUUGACACGGACUACCAGUGCUUUGUGAUGCGCUCUCAAAGAGUCGAGUUGUUUGGGAAUGCAGCUCAAAAUGGGUGGUAAAUUCCAUCUAAAGCUAAAUAUUGGCGAGAGACCGAUAGCGAACAAGUACCGUGAGGGAAAGAUGAAAAGCACUUUGGAAAGAGAGUUAAACAGUACGUGAAAUUGCUGAAAGGGAAACGCUUGAAGUCAGUCGCGUCGUUCAGAACUCAACCUGGCUUUUGCUUGGUGCACUUUCUGUUUGACGGGCCAACAUCAGUUUUGACUGCUGGAGAAAAGCCUUUGGAAUGUGGCACCUUUGGGUGUGUUAUAGCCUUGGGUUGUAUACAGUGGUUGGGACUGAGGACCGCAGCACGCCUUCUGGCCGGGGUUCGCCCACGUACGUGCUUAGGAUGUUGGCGUAAUGGCUUUAAACGACCCGUCUUGAAACACGGACC
rnacentral:rRNA from 1 species